rnacentral:lncRNA from 1 species
AGUCGCACGGCCGCACAAUGGAAACUCCGCCGCACGGCCGGCCCCGGCCUGGGGGCUUCUCUUUUUGCAGCGGAACCGCUCGCCAGGGCGUGCGUCUGCGGGAGGGUGCAGCGGCCUGCCCACGGGUCAGGCGGGACCGCCCAGCUGUCAGGCUCGGGUGGAGUAGAGUUGGAGGAGUGCUGCUGGCGCGCCUCCGAGGCUGCCCCGAGGCACGGAGCCAGGGCGAGGGGGGUAAGGGAGAGGACAGCUCUUCCGAAAGGGAAGGCUCCGCCAGCCAGCUUCUGACCAGCUCCAGUGACCUGGCAGCCGGUGCAGAAGGCGUCUGGCACCAGCCCGAAGACGCCCUGAGGUGCAGCUGCACUUUCCUCUUGCAUAGGUUCUAAAGCUGUUUACGUUGCUCCGGUCCUCUGCGCCCAGGCUAAUCCCCCCUCCCCGCAUCAUUUACUGGGUGCGUGUUUCACACAGGGAUGCAGAUGGUUCCGGGGAUAAGGUUUGAUUUCUUUACACGUACGGCGUGGGUUUCUUAACUGGACACGUUAUAACCCAGCGAAGUGCACAUCCAUCAUGCACACGCGCGCUGCAGCAGAAACUACUCUGUGUGUAAAACAAACACACACGUGUUGAACAGCUGAGCGGGUCUGACUAUUGCAAAUCAUUCCUCCUCCCCGGCACCGGGUCAGAAAUGGAACUCUCAACUAGCACUUUCACUUUUUGAUGGUUGUAGAUGCCCUCCGCCCACAUCUCCCAAAUUAAACAUUUCGAAAUCAAUCAACAGGACUUAUUAGUCAGUCCCUCGCUAGGGGAUUUGCUUUGGUCUCCUCGGACACAUUUGUCAUGAAAUGGUGUGCCGAAAGCCUGGGUGACUGUAUGAAGGAGAGCAAUUUCUUCCUGGAAAUGAUAAAUUUAAGUGUAAAUUUCUUGAUGAAAACAAAAUUUAUCAGAGUUAAAGACCCCUAGUCCCAAAGGUUGCUGCUGAGUGAACGCAGUCUCUUUCAGAAAUGAAUUUUUGGACAGGAGAAAAUAUUUGAGUGAAACAAUGCAGAUAGAGUGGUCCCCAUGUGGUCCGCUUGAAUCACAAAUACCGUUUUAUAUGUUUGACCUGUCCCAAUUUGUGUGUGUGUGGCGGGGGCGGGGGGCGCUGCGCCGAGGGGAGAUACAAGAUUCCUUUGUAGACAGCACACAUUUCAGAAUCGAAGAAGGUUCGAGCUAGGACCAGAAACUUGAAAACAAACUACAUAUAGGUAAAUAUGGCAUGUAUAUCUUUCUUCGCCUCCACUUCCAAUUCAGACACGGUGGUGCGGAGAGGAUCGUGGGAGAAUGCCCCGAAAGUUGACCCAGCCGAGAGCAACCGAGU